CCUACGGGUGGCAGCAGUGGGGAAUAUUGGACAAUGGGCGAAAGCCUGAUCCAGCCAUGCCGCGUGAGUGAAGAAGGCCUUCGGGUUGUAAAGCACUUUCAGUGGGGAAGAAAGCCUUGGGGCUAAUACCCUCGAGGAAGGACAUCACCCACAGAAGAAGCACCGGCUAACUCCGUGCCAGCAGCCGCGGUAAUACGGAGGGUUCGAGCGUUAAUCGGAAUUACUGGGCGUAAAGCGCGCGUAGGCGGUCUGAUAAGCCGGUUGUGAAAGCCCCGGGCUCAACCUGGGAACGGCAUCCGGAACUGUCAGGCUAGAGUGCAGGAGAGGAAGGUAGAAUUCCCGGUGUAGCGGUGAAAUGCGUAGAGAUCGGGAGGAAUACCAGUGGCGAAGGCGGCCUUCUGGACUGACACUGACGCUGAGGUGCGAAAGCGUGGGUAGCAAACAGGAUUAGAUACCCGAGUAGUC
rnacentral:rRNA from 1 species